AACGAACGCUGGCGGCAGGCUUAACACAUGCAAGUCGAACGCCCCGCAAGGGGAGUGGCAGACGGGUGAGUAACGCGUGGGAACGUGCCCUUCGCUUCGGAAUAUUCCCGGGAAACUGGGAGCAAUGCCGGCUACGCCGAAUUGGGAAAGAUUUAUCGGCGAAGGAUCGGCCCGCGUUAGAUUAGGUAGUUGGUGGGGUAAUGGCCUACCAAGCCUACGAUCUAUAGCUGGUCUGAGGGGAUGAUCAGCCACACUGGGACUGAGACACGGCCCAGACUCCUACGGGAGGCAGCAGUGGGGAAUCUUGGACAAUGGGCGCAAGCCUGAUCCAGCCAUGCCGCGUGAGUGAAGAAGGCCUUAGGGUUGUAAAACUCUUUCGCCGGUGAAGAUAAUGACGGUAGCCGGAGAAGAAGCCCCGGCUAACUUCGUGCCAGCCGCCGCGGUAAGAC
rnacentral:rRNA from 1 species